rnacentral:rRNA from 1 species
GACGAACGCUGGCGGCGCGCCUAACACAUGCAAGUCGAACGAGGUUGAGAGGAGCUUGCUUUUCUUGACUUAGUGGCGAACGGGUGAGUAACGCGUGAAUAACCUGCCUUUCAGUGGGGGACAACAGUCGGAAACGACUGCUAGUACCGCAUAAUGCAACGGAAUCGCAUGACUCUGUUGCCAAAGAUUUAUCGCUCUGAGAUGGCCUCGCGUCUGAUUAGCUAGUUGGCGGGGUAACGGCCCACCAAGGCGACGAUCAGUAGCCGGACUGAGAGGUUGGCCGGCCACAUUGGGACUGAGACACGGCCCAG